GUCUUCGUGGUGCAGUGGUCAGCACGCUCGACGAGUAUUUGAAAAAUCCGUGGUUCGAUUCCGGGCGAGGGCA
rnacentral:tRNA from 1 species